rnacentral:rRNA from 1 species
GCCCUACGGGACGCAGCAGUCGGGAAUACUGCGCAAUGGAGGAAACUCUGACGCAGUGACGCCGCGUAUAGGAAGAAGGUUUUCGGAUUGUAAACUAUUGUCGUGAGGGAAGAAAUUGACAGUACCUCAGGAGGAAGCUCCGGCUAACUAUGUGCCAGCAGCCGCGGUAAUACAUAGGGAGCAAGCGUUAUCCGGAUUUACUGGGUGUAAAGGGAGCGUAGACGGCGAUGCAAGUCUGAAGUGAAAGGCGGGGGUCCAACCCCCGGACUGCUUUGGAAACUGUAUGGCUGGAGUGCAGGAGAGGG